rnacentral:rRNA from 1 species
UACGGAGGGAGCUAGCGUUGUUCGGAACUACUGGGCGUAAAGCGCGCGUAGGCGGCUAUUCAAGUCAGAGGUGAAAUCCUUGGGCUCAACCCAAGAAUUGCCUUUGAAACUGUAUAGCUAGAGUGUCGGAGGGGAUAGCGGAAUUCCUAAUGUAGAGGUGAAAUUCGUAGAUAUUAGGAGGAACACCGGUGGCGAAGGCGGCUAUCUGGACGACAACUGACGCUGAGGCGCGAAAGCACGGGGAUCAAACAGG